UGCUCUGGUCACACCACCACAAAAUACGCCUGAACCCAGCAGGAUUCGCAAGUGUGCUUAGGCUUGGCAAGUACUGGGUUGAGGGACCACCUGGGACCCCCAAAGUGCCGCAGCGU
rnacentral:rRNA from 1 species